GUUCAUAUUUCAAAGUCAUGUGCUUAUAUGCGUGGGGUCAUAUGUAAAUACUUUUUAAGUCACUCCAUGAUCUUAACAUUUGCCUGUGAUGCCUGCAAAACAGUGACACUACAUGUUCCCUCCAAACUAGAUGCUGUAAAAUAUAUUGGUAGAGUUAACCUGAAGGAAUGCUUUAAAUCUGCAAAUCUAAUUCAUUCAAGUGAUCCUGAUUUCCAAAUUUUAGAAGAUGGUUCAGUCUAUACAACAAAUGCCAUUCUUUUGUCCUCAGCGAAGAGAUCUUUUACCGUAUUACUUUCCAACACAGAUACCCAAGAAGAGAAGAAAAUACUUGUCCUUUUAGAGCAACAAACAAAGGUACUGAGGAAAAGGCGUUCUCAAGAAAAAGUUCUAAUACGUGCCAAGAGAAGAUGGGCUCCUAUUCCUUGUUCAGUGUCUGAGAAUUCCUUGGGUCCUUUCCCACUUUUUCUUCAACAGCUAGUUGCCUUUGCAACAACUAAGGAUGGAUAUACUCCAGAAUUUCCACUGCCCCUACUAAUCAGAAUCGAGGAUGAGAAUGAUAACUUCCCAAUUUUUACAGAAACAACUUACAUUUUUAAUGUUUCUGAAAACUGCAGAGUUGGUACUACCGUGGGACAGGUUUGUGCAACUGACAAAGAUGAGCCUGACACACUGCACACGCGUCUAAUGUACUCCAUCAUCGAGCAGUUACCAGCAUCACGCACCCUCUUUUUUAUGCAGCCAGCUACAGGUGUGAUCACCACAACAUCAUCUCAGCUAGACAGAGAGGUAACUGAUAAAUACCAAUUGAAAAUAAAAGUACAAGACAUGGAUGGUCAAUAUUUUGGUUUGCAGACAACUGCAACUUGCAUCAUUAAUAUUGGAGAUGUGAAUGACAACUUGCCAACAUUCAACCGUUUAUCUUAUGAGACAUCAGUGGAGGAAAAUAUAAUUGAUGUGGAAAUCUUACGUGUUGCCGUUACGGAUAAGGAUUUAAUUAAUACUGCUAAUUGGAGAGCUAAUUAUACCAUUUUAAAGGGCAAUGAAAAUGGAAAUUUUAAAAUUGUAACAGAUCCCAAAACCAAUGAAGGAGUUCUGUAUGUGGUUAAGCCACUGAAUUAUGAAGAAAAACAAGAGAUGACCCUACAAAUCAGUGUAGUUAAUGAAGCUCCAAAUUUUGCUAGUUCGAGAUCAACCAUGAGCAUGGCGACAGUCACUGUUAAUGUACAAAAUCAGGAUGAAGGCCCUGAGUGUCGCCCUGCAGUGCAAAUUGUUCGUAUUAAAGAAAAUGCACCAGGGAGCACAAAGGGCAUUGGAUAUAAAGCACAUGACCCGGAAACAAAUAGUAGCAGUGGCAUAAGGUAUAAGAAAUUAAGUGAUCCAGAAGGAUGGGUCAGUGUUGAUGAAAACUCAGGAUCAAUCACAAUUUUAAGAAGCCUGGAUAGAGAGGCAAGGACCAUCAGAAAUGGUAUAUAUAAUAUUACAAUCCUUGCCUCAGACAAAGGUAAGAGAACAUGUACUGGGACACUAGGGAUUAUACUUGAAGACGUGAAUGAUAACGGCCCAUUCAUACCUCAAAAGACGGUGAUAAUCUGUAAAACUGUCAUGUCAUCGGCGGAGAUUGUGGCCGUAGAUCCCGAUGAACCCAUACACGGCCCACCCUUUGACUUCAGUUUGGAAGGUGUUUCUGAUUCAGAAGUACUUAGAAUGUGGAGACUGACAAAAAUUAACGAUACAGCAGCACGUCUUUCCUAUCUGAAUGACCUCCAGUUUGGAGAAUAUACAGUACCUGUCAGAGUUGCAGAUAGGCUUGGCCAAUCACUUGUCACUCAGUUAAAGGUGAUAUUAUGUGACUGUGUUACCCAAAGUGACUGCGACAUUCGCUCAUCUGUGAUUCCCAGAAGACUGAUACUUGGAAAGUGGGCCAUCCUUGCAAUAGUGUUGGGCAUAGCAUUGCUAUUUUGUGUCCUAUUUACCUUAGUCUGUGGGGCUACUGGGGCAGCCAAAAAGCCAAAAGUAUUUCCCGAUGAUUUAGCCCAGCAGAACCUCAUUGUAUCAAACACUGAAGCUCCCGGCGAUGACAAAGUGUAUUCCACCAACGGCUUCACAACCUAUACUAUGGGAGGCUCCACUCAGGGAAUUUGCAGCACCCUGGGAUCCGGAGUGAAAAACGGAGGGCAGGAGACCAUUGAAAUGGUGAAAGGAGGGCAGACCGUUGAGCCCUGCCAGGAGGCCGGGCAUCAUCACACCCUGGGAUUGUGUAAGGGAGGUGGACAGCACACCCUGGAUUCCUGCAGAGGAGGACAAGUAGAGGCAGACAACUGCAGAUACGCAUACUCCGAUUGGUACACCUACACUCAGCCCCGUCUUGGUGAAAAGGUCCAGCUGUGUAAUCAGGAUAACAGUCAUACGCAUGCACAAGACUACGUCCGGACGUAUAACUAUGAAGGAAAAGGAUCGGCGGCUGGUUCUGUGGGUUGUUGCAGUGAACGACAAGAAGAAGAUGGGCUUGAAUUUUUGGAUCAUUUGGAACCCAAAUUUAGGACACUAGCAGAAGCAUGCAUGAAGAGAUGAGUGUGUUCUAUUUAGUCUACAAAAGCCAGUGGCUUUAAUUGUCUCUUUUAAAUUAUUAUUACAAGCCAGGAUUUUUUUAAAAAUAGAAGAUGCUGUUUUGGGGGCUUUUCCCCUUUAUUUUGUUGAGAUCUCUUUAGCCACAUGUGCUUUUACAGAGGGAUGCUGUGAACAACUACACAAAUUUCCUGAUUUUUCCAUAGUUUUUAAAUACUUGUCUUCCACCUAAGGACACCUGCAGAUAGACAAGUUGAGACAGUCUGCAUUAUUGUUUACAUUUGGGUAUAGUGACAGCAGCCAAUUUGUAGUGCAAUAAUAUGUAAUUAACUCAAGUCUAUAUCAUAGACUACUUGGAGUAUAACCGAAUGGAAAAUUGAAGAGGUCUUGCUCUAACAUUAUCUUCAGUUACCUAAAUUAAUUGUUUGUGUGGUGCUUGAAGACUGUUGUUCUCCUAAACAUUCUAAAGUGUAUACACUGCAUUCUUGCUAUUGUUUUAGUCUUGUAACAUGACCUUGCUUCAUAAAGCAAAGGGAGAUUCCCAACUAAGCGUUGACUGUUAUUAUAAUUCCACUUUGGUGGACUUUAGUUUUUGUGUUGUAUUCUCUGUGAAAUCCGGCACUGAAUCUACAUUUCCUCUGUUACCCACCUUCUCCGCAAAAUUUAAAUUAAAAAAAUGCUGAGGAAUGUAUUUUUUACUCCUGCAAGGUUUUGGUCUUUGGUCCCCGCCACUCCCCACCACCCCUUCUGUCUGCCUCUCACCCUCUCUCUUCCCUCUUUCCCCCUCUCCCUCUCUUUUUCCCUCUAUCUCUCUCUUUCUCUUCUUUUUUGUUCUUAAAAUUCCGAUUUGGGUUGGAGAAUCUAAGUAUGUUUAAAAGCCGCCUCUUUUUCCCUCGCUUAUAAAGUGACUUAUUCUGUGUUUCUGUUUUAUGUAAGCACCUGUAUUCUUGGCUUUUCUUAAAAUCAAUGUAAUGUCAAUUUUUUUGUUUCAGCUAUUUUGGUGAUUGCUUCAUUAUCUCCUCAACAAAGACCCUUUACUUUUGCCAUUCAACUGUAGAAGCAUGUCAUGCUUUUAUUUGAUGCAACACUCUAUGUUAACAAAAGGAAUAGUGUAAUUAAAAUUAGUUUAGUAUAAAAUAGUAUAUUUACAGUUCAUUAUUGCAAGGAUACAGUUUAUAAAUGCAAAAUAGUGAUUUUUUUGAAAUAAGCUUUGCAGUACAGGGAUUGUGAAAUCUCUAGGAAUAACUUUUAUAGCUUUUUAGAUCAGGUGGCUAGUUAUAGCUAUGUGUUUGUAAAGUUUUUUUUUUUUUAAUAUUUUGAGAUUACAGUUUUUUAACAAAUGUCGAACUGGUUCAAACUAUUUAAAUUUUGAAAUAAUAAGACAAAAUUAAACUUAAUAGCCAACCAAAUUCCAGGCUACAUUUCACAGCUGAUUUCAGUCAAUGAAUUUUCUAUCCGUACUAACCAUAUGGACAUUUUUAAAGUAUUUCUGAUAUUUAGGAUUGUUAAUAAUAUGCCUAUUUUGAAUUCACAGGAUUGGCUUAUAACAAUUAUUUUUAAAAAUUAACACUGGGUAAUUUAUUCAAUAAUCAGUUUAUCUUUUCAAUAGUUUCAUCACUACUCAGUCAAAAAUACUAUUUCUCAAAGUUAUUUUUAAUAAAUUAUGUAUAAAAUUCUUGUAUAUUACUAGU
rnacentral:lncRNA from 1 species